rnacentral:lncRNA from 1 species
CCCACAUUCCUUUCUUCUGUUUAUUCAUUUGACAGAUACCUACUGAGUUCCCGCUCUGUGUGAGGUCGGGGGUGGAGUCUGGGGAGAAGGAAAUAAGCCAGGAACCUGCGUUUGCCGAUGUGAUGGUGUGAAGUGGUGACUGGCCUGAGGGCCCCUCCUUAUGGGAUUAGUGCCCCCAGAAAGAGCCUUAUCGGGGGUCUGUCCCUCCCGCCAUUGCCUCCUGAGGACCCGCAUUUCUCCCUCCAGGGGACACUGCACGCCAGGCACCGUCUUGGGUAGAGAGCAGCCCUCACCAAAUGCGGGUGCCUUGGCCUUGGACUUUCAGCCCCCAGCACUGUGAGAAGUUCUCUCUCCUUUGGGACCAAGGUGGAGUCUUGCUUCUCCGUGGGCAUGUGAGGGUGAGUGAAACCACGACACUUCUCUGCAUGGUGCUCGUCUGUGUUCUCCGGAGAGGCCGCUACUUGCCGGGGCCCUACAAUCAGGACGAUGAUGACGGAUGCCGGCUCCCACCAGCGAGGUCACGUGUCCAGGCCGUGAUGUCGUGAAGGCUGGGAGAUGCUGGCACCGCUCACCGGGGUGGUAAACUCUCUGCUGCAACAGGGUCUACCCUCAUCAGCUGGGCCUCAUCUUAACCAACUCCACCUGCAAAGGCCCUGUUUCCAGAUGAGGCCGCAGCCUGAGGUUCUGGGUGGACACCAUUCUACCCAGUACCACCCUCUGACCUGUGGGAGGAGCCCAGGCCUGCCGGGAGGCGGGUGCACACUCACAGAACGUGCAGCGCAGGUGUGCACUCUAGAGCCCACCUCAGUGCUGAGGUCGACGUCACCCCCGGGCUCUUGGGCCGUGGCCAACGGCAGGCCAUCUGCGAGAACAGAGACGAGGGCUUGGAUCAGUUUCUGUCUGAGUUGGCGCCUUCCCAGGCUGGCUGUUGGCUCUGCUCCCUUCUGGGACCUGUUGGGAUGAGCAGAUCAGGGAGUAUUUUGAGCCGAAAGGAAUUCAGCCUCUGAAUCCCUCCUGGGCCUGGGGUGGAGCAGGGUGAACACAUACGGAAGCGUAAACACAGCGGGCCGACUUCAGCCUGCAGCUCAGCCCUGCGGUCUCCUGGGCAACGCGCUGCGUGGGGACAUUGUCUCUCACCUGAAAAGCUGCUUACGGGCCCCCACCUCGUCGUGGGUUUAAAGCGGAUUAAUGGGAGGGUUGGUGGUUCUGGGGCUGGCAGGGCUUCCCAGCAGGGGCAGCCCCUUCAUGUGGUGGCGAGCUUGGUAGUGACAACAGGCAGGCCGCUGUGCCCCGGGUGGGUGGCUGGAGCUGGGCGUGGGGUGUCUCCCCGUGAGGACUGUCUGCCCUGCCCGCUGCUCACAAGCCUUCUGCGUUUCCCACCACGCUCUCCUCACCUUCUACUGGGAGGAAGGUCCCAGGGCACGGGAGGGACCCUGUCUAGAGUGGAGCUGGGCUGCCCCAUCUCAGGUCAUGGGUCACGGCUGCCCCAUCUCAGGUGACGGCAGCCCCCUUCAGGUGAAGGCCAAGGCGCGGCUCUUCUCCUCCCAGCCUGAAGCAGAUCCUGUUGUCUGCAAGUACCCAGCAUCCGAUGGCUUCUCACGGCCUCCACCCCGGCCACCUGGUCCGAGACACUGCUGUCUCCGGCCUGGACUGGUGCAGUAGCCAGCAGCUGCUGCUCUCGCCCUCUAUGGGGCAGCCUCACACGGCCCGUGGUGCCCCUGCUGGUGCUCAGUCCUUGUGCGCUCCCUCCCUUGAGCAUGUGCGGGACCUGUGGUUUAUCUCAAAUGAAUAGAAAAUGGCAAAAGCAAUGGGGUGUCACUUCCAAAUCUGGUCGCGGAAAGACCCUGGUCUAUCUUGCUCAUCCCUCUCACCCUCUCCCACGGUCUGGUGAAACCAGUGGCUGUGCCGAGAGCUGCCAUGGGGCAAGAGACUGAGGGCGGCUUCCAGCUAAACGCCAGUGAGGAGCUGAGGCCCUGAAGAACUGAAUCCCGCCCAGAACUACAUGCCUGAGCUCGGAGCCAUUUCUUCCCCAUGGGAGAUGAGACCCCUGCCCAGCUGAGUCCGGAUUGCAGCCUGUGAGACCCUGAGCCUGCGGAUCCAGCCAAGCCAUACCUGAUCCUUGAUCUAAGGAAAAUGGGAGCUGAUAAGUGUGUGCUGUUUUCAGCUGCCAAGUGUGGGACCCUUUGUGAUGCUGGAGUCAGUAGAUGCCGCAGGCUCACCCCGCCCUCUCCUCCCAGCCAGCAUGAUUAUGUCAAGACCAGAUCAGCUCACAGCACUUCCCUGCUCAUGGCUCCUAGUGUCUCAACAGCCCCAGGCCCUGCCCCAUUUGUCACCUCCCAGCCACCCACCCCAGGCCCUGCACUGUUCGUCACCCCCUGGCCACUGCCUGCUCCCCAGGCCUGCCCUGUUCAUCACCCCCCCAACAGGCCUUGAACCAUUCAUCACCCCCCGGCCACCAGCCCCAG